rnacentral:tRNA from 1 species
AGUAGGGUGGCUGAAGUAUUUAGGCUAUAGAUUGUAAAUCUAUUUAUGGUAAAAACCUCCUGCUA